GUGGGAGGGGGCUUGCCCCCGAUAGCGGUUGAUCAGUCACUCAUGCAUUGACUGAAUGACCGCAAUCGGGGGCAAGCCCCCUCCCAC
rnacentral:ncRNA from 2 species